rnacentral:rRNA from 1 species
UGGGGAAUUUUGGACAAUGGGCGAAAGCCUGAUCCAGCAAUGCCGCGUGUGUGAAGAAGGCCUUCGGGUUGUAAAGCACUUUUGUCCGGAAAGAAAUCCUUGGCUCUAAUACAGUCGGGGGAUGACGGUACCGGAAGAAUAAGCACCGGCUAACUACGUGCCAGCAGCCGCGGUAAUACGUAGGGUGCAAGCGUUAAUCGGAAUUACUGGGCGUAAAGCGUGCGCAGGCGGUUUGCUAAGACCGAUGUGAAAUCCCGGCCGUCACUAGGCACUGGCAUGGUGAUGCUGGGCAGGCUAGAGUAUGGCAGAGGGGGGUAGAAUUCCACGUGUAGCAGUGAAAUGCGUAGAGAUGUGGAGGAAUACCGAUGGCGAAGGCAGCCCCCUGGGCCAAUACUGACGCUCAUGCACGAAAGCGUGGGGAGCAAACAGGAUUAGAUACCCUGGUAGUCCACGCCCUAAACGAUGUCAACUAGUUGUUGGGGGAUUCAUUUCCUUAGUAACGUAGCUAACGCGUGAAGUUGACCGCCUGGGGAGUACGGUCGCAAGAUUAAAACUCAAAUGAAUUGACGGGGUCAUAGCUGUUUCCU